AAUAUGUUUGGAUCCAAACAUAUAUUUGUUUGGGACUGGUUGCAAACAAAUAUAUUUUUGGAUGCAAACAUAAUUUGUUUCGGUGCAAACAAAUAUUUGUUUGCAACAUUUUGUAACAUAACUCAAUUUUAUUUGUUGGGUACCAACAUAUUUUAUAUGUUAGAACAUAUUUUUUUAUGGGUGCGGAGAGGAUUUUUUUCAAAGAGCUAAACAACAGAGCUCUCGAUUACUUUUGAAUUGGUGUUAUAGGUGACUUAAAAGAAGACAGGAGGGUGAGAAGUCUGUUUUUGCGUUGAUGAGUGUCUCAACUUGAGACACGCGCCAAUGUUACGCUCUUUUGCUCUCACCAAGCAAACACUGCCGAUCGCUGCUGUAACUAUGUGUGGUGUGUGCGCGGCAAGAGGGAUGGAAACUGUUGCUGAGACGUUUAUUUCUUUUCUAUUGUCCAUGCACCAAAAAAUGCCAACAACAACACACAAAGAGCUGUUUGGAUGUUUUUUUGUUGCUGAGACGUUGCUUCUUACUAAUGUUCAUGCAUACAUACAUACAUGCGUUUUUCGCAUACACACCGAUUUGCUUGAUGAGAACAAAAGAGCGUAACAUUUGCGCGUGUCUCAUGUUGGCAUUCUGGUUGUGUUCUUUUUUAUUCUUUUUAUUUGUUUUGUGCCUUCGCGUCGUGUCACAAGUGUUGUAAUAAAUGUUGAUACCAACUGUUUUGGGGGAAGACAAAUUAUUUGUCGAAGCGCCGGAGCCUUUAAAUCUACAAAGCUUUAUAAAAGCAGCCAAAUUAGAGUUAAAAAUUGAUGCCUCAAGAAAAAUAACAGCCUUAGUGUUUGGUGCAACCAUUAAAGAAGACCAGUUUGAAAAAGUAAUUCAUCAAUAUAUGUCAACACCUACUUUUCAUAUUGAGUUGCAAUUUGGAGACUCCGUUCGAUCAGUGGCAUCAGCAUCGACAGUUAGUGGCACUCUAUCGGAGUGUGAAUCCGUAGGUGGUUUUGGGGAUCUUACCCCAAAAACAAAUGUUAUUUCAACUUUAAAGACUGACAUAGAGUCCAUCAAGUCAAUUCCGGCUGUCAACAAAAUAUGGAGAAUUUUUAUUGCCGAAAAAACGCCUGCAAAAUAAAGAUAGGGUGAAUAUUUCGAAGGCCCUUAUUGACGAAUGUCUAAAAGAAGACCCUAACAGAUUGUAAGUAUUUUACUUUAUUGAAAAAAUAGUGAUUGUAAUAAAA